rnacentral:rRNA from 1 species
AUUGAACGCUGGCGGCAGGCCUAACACAUGCAAGUCGAGCGGAUGAAGGGAGCUUGCUCCUGGAUUCAGCGGCGGACGGGUGAGUAAUGCCUAGGAAUCUGCCUGGUAGUGGGGGAUAACGUCCGGAAACGGGCGCUAAUACCGCAUACGUCCUGAGGGAGAAAGUGGGGGAUCUUCGGACCUCACGCUAUCUGAUGAGCCUAGGUCGGAUGAGCUAGUUGGUGGGGUAAAGGCCUACCAAGGCGACGAUCCGUAACUGGUCUGAGAGGAUGAUCAGUCACACUGGAACUGAGACACGGUCCAGACUCCUACGGGAGGCAGCAGUGGGGAAUAUUGGACAAUGGGCGAAAGCCUGAUACAGACAUGCCGCGUGUGUGAAGAAGGUCUUCGGAUUGUAAAGCACUUUAAGUUGGGAGGAAGGGCAGUAAGUUAAUACCUUGCUGUUUUGACGUUACCAACAGAAUAAGCACCGGCUAACUUCGUG